AUUGAGACUUCGGUGGAUUUGAUCUAUUUCUAGUGGCGGACGGGUGAGUAACGCGUGGGUAACCUGCCUUAUACAGGGGGAUAACAGUCAGAAAUGGCUGCUAAUACCGCAUAAGCGCACAGAGCUGCAUGGCUCAGUGUGAAAAACUCCGGUGGUAUAAGAUGGACCCGCGUUGGAUUAGCUAGUUGGUGGGGUAACGGCCCACCAAGGCGACGAUCCAUAGCCGGCCUGAGAGGGUGAACGGCCACAUUGGGACUGAGACACGGCCCAGACUCCUACGGGAGGCAGCAGUGGGGAAUAUUGCACAAUGGGGGAAACCCUGAUGCAGCGACGCCGCGUGAAGGAAGAAGUAUCUCGGUAUGUAAACUUCUAUCAGCAGGGAAGAUAGUGACGGUACCUGACUAAGAAGCCCCGGCUAACUACGUGCCAGCAGCCGCGGUAAUACGUAGGGGGCAAGCGUUAUCCGGAUUUACUGGGUGUAAAGGGAGCGUAGACGGUGUGGCAAGUCUGAUGUGAAAGGCAUGGGCUCAACCUGUGGACUGCAUUGGAAACUGUCAUACUUGAGUGCCGGAGGGGUAAGCGGAAUUCCUAGUGUAGCGGUGAAAUGCGUAG
rnacentral:rRNA from 1 species